UACGGAGGGUGCAAGCGUUAUCCGGAUUCACUGGGUUUAAAGGGUGCGUAGGUGGGUUGGUAAGUCAGUGGUGAAAUCUCCAGGCUUAACUUGGAAACUGCCAUUGAUACUAUCAAUCUUGAAUACCGUGGAGGUCAGCGGAAUAUGUCAUGUAGCGGUGAAAUGCUUAGAUAUGACAUAGAACACCAAUUGCGAAGGCAGCUGGCUACACGAAUAUUGACACUGAUGCACGAAAGCGUGGAAGAUCAAAACAGG
rnacentral:rRNA from 1 species